AUGGCCAACUUUGCCGCCCAGCUCAAGGAUAGGUUUUUCGGACUCGUCGACCGCGUCACCGGCUGUGGCCGCGCUGGGGUCAAGGAAGAGGCCGCCAAGUCGGCGCCGGCACCGACUGUGCAGGAGCUAGAGAACUCACCGUGCUGCUAUUACUCUUGCAGCACGUCGAGAUUCGGCCAAGAGGGCCCAAUGUGUCAGGAGGAUCAGAGGCGGGGGUCAAUUAGGCAUCGUGGAUUACUAUCUGCUGAUGUCCCGAGAGUUGUCGCUUCGCUCCAGAUUCAUGCAUGUGGCCUCCCUUGUUCUGAAAGUUGA
rnacentral:rRNA from 1 species